rnacentral:rRNA from 1 species
CGGACGGGUGAGUAAUGUCUGGGAAACUGCCCGAUGGAGGGGGAUAACUACUGGAAACGGUAGCUAAUACCGCAUAACGUCGCAAGACCAAAGAGGGGGACCUUCGGGCCUCUUGCCAUCGGAUGUGCCCAGAUGGGAUUAGCUAGUAGGUGGGGUAACGGCUCACCUAGGCGACGAUCCCUAGCUGGCUGAGAGGAUGACCAGCCACACUGGAACUGAGACACGGUCCAG